ACAUACACUCCUGCGGGAGGCAGCAGUGGGGAAUUUUGGACAAUGGGCGAAAGCCUGAUCCAGCAAUGCCGCGUGAGUGAAGAAGGCCUUCGGGUUGUAAAGCUCUUUUGUCAGGGAAGAAACGGUGAGAGCUAAUAUCUCUUGCUAAUGACGGUACCUGAAGAAUAAGCACCGGCUAACUACGUGCCAGCAGCCGCGGUAAUACGUAGGGUGCAAGCGUUAAUCGGAAUUACUGGGCGUAAAGCGUGCGCAGGCGGUUUUGUAAGUCUGAUGUGAAAUCCCCGGGCUCAACCUGGGAAUUGCAUUGGAGACUGCAAGGCUAGAAUCUGGCAGAGGGGGGUAGAAUUCCACGUGUAGCAGUGAAAUGCGUAGAUAUGUGGAGGAACACCGAUGGCGAAGGCAGCCCCCUGGGUCAAGAUUGACGCUCAUGCACGAAAGCGUGGGGAGCAAACAGGAUUAGAUACCCCGGUAGUCCC
rnacentral:rRNA from 1 species